GACGAACGCUGGCGGCGUGCUUAACACAUGCAAGUCGAACGGAAAGGCCCUGCUUUUGUGGGGUGCUCGAGUGGCGAACGGGUGAGUAACACGUGAGUAACCUGCCCUUGACUUUGGGAUAACUUCAGGAAACUGGGGCUAAUACCGGAUAGGAGCUCCUGCUGCAUGGUGGGGGUUGGAAAGUUUCGGCGGUUGGGGAUGGACUCGCGGCUUAUCAGCUUGUUGGUGUGGUAGUGGCUUACCAAGGCUUUGACGGGUAGCCGGCCUGAGAGGGUGACCGGCCACAUUGGGACUGAGAUACGGCCCAGACUCCUACGGGAGGCAGCAGUGGGGAAUAUUGCACAAUGGGCGGAAGCCUGAUGCAGCAACGCCGCGUGCGGGAUGACGGCCUUCGGGUUGUAAACCGCUUUCGCCUGUGGCGAAGCGUGAGUGACGGUAAUGGGUAAAGAAGCACCGGCUAACUACGUG
rnacentral:rRNA from 1 species